rnacentral:lncRNA from 1 species
AUGCUAAGCAAGUAGGGUUAAUUUCUGCUGACUAUUUCUACUCUGUGGUGCUCUUUUGUUGUUUCAGUAACCAGAACACAUGAUGUUUUAAAGAAGGCAAGGACUAACCUAGAGUUAAGGAAACUACUGCACCAGUCAGAGGCACCAAGCCUGUCCCCAACCCAUCACCAUCUGUUAGCAGAUCUUGUAGGUGACGCUUGGCCUGCUUUCGCCUUCCAGGAGAAGAUUUCCAGUCCACUUGUGAAAUCCCUAAGGGCUCUGCCGUGUACUCCAGCCUUGUGACCCUUGCCUUCCAGGAACCAUGCAA